GACGAACCGUGCAAACGUUAUUCGGAAUCACUGGGCUUAAAGCGUGCGUAGGCGGCUCAGAAAGUUGGGUGUGAAAUCCCUCGGCUCAACCGAGGAAUUGCGCUCAAAACUACUGAGCUCGAGGGAGUUAGAGGUGAGCGGAACUAAUGGUGGAGCGGUGAAAUGCGUUGAUAUCAUUAGGAACACCGGUGGCGAAAGCGGCCAUCACUGGGACUCUUCUGACGCUGAGGCGCGAAAGCGUGGGGAGCAAACAGG
rnacentral:rRNA from 1 species